rnacentral:rRNA from 1 species
CGUGUAGGCGGGAAUGCAAGUCAGAUGUGAAAUUCCGAGGCUUAACCUCGGCGCUGCAUCUGAAACUGUGUUUCUUGAGUGCUGGAGAGGAAAGCGGAAUUCCUAGUGUAGCGGUGAAAUGCGUAGAUAUUAGGAGGAACACCAGUGGCGAAGGCGGCUUUCUGGACAGUAACUGACGCUGAGGCGCGAAAGCGUGGGGAGCAAACAGGAUUAGAUACCCUGGUAGUCC